GGGUUCAUGGCCUAAUGGUAAGGCGUCAGAUUUCGGUCAUACCUUAAUGAAUACUCUGAAGAUUGCAGGUUCGAUCCCUGCUGAGCUCG